ACUGGAUCCAUUUUGAAAGGACUGUUUCCAGUUGGAAGAAACUUGAUUUGAACCAGCCAGCCACUUCUUCCUUGAAUAUUGUACCCAUCCCCACAGGCACUCAUGUGAAUGGACCCCUAGACAGGGACAUCGAUGAUUUCUACCUAAACCACAAUGUACAGAUAUCUUCCAAUCUAGUUAUUAGACAAUUAUGGGCACCAACUACCAAUGGGAUGAAUAUGGGAUCCUAAGCACUGAAAAGAAGAUCAGAUAAUCGGGUUAUCAACUGCAGUACAUGGAUAACAUAGUAGCAACAACUGAUGAAAGCUAUAACUGAGCUUGCUUCCUCCUCAGUGUGGGCAUUCUGGCCAUGCACAGUGAGGCAUGGCCAGAAGGAGCUGUGCAAGUUGCCACAUGUGGCAUGACUGACGGAAUCUGGGUCAGAAUGCAGAGUAAAAGU
rnacentral:lncRNA from 1 species